GACGGUCUUGCUGUCACUUAUAGAUGGAUCCGCGCUGCAUUAGCUAGUUGGUAAGGUAACGGCUUACCAAGGCAACGAUGCAUAGCCGACCUGAGAGGGUGAUCGGCCACACUGGAACUGAGACACGGUCCAGACUCCUACGGGAGGCAGCAGUAGGGAAUCUUCCGCAAUGGGCGAAAGCCUGACGGAGCAACGCCGCGUGAGUGAUGAAGGUCUUCGGAUCGUAAAACUCUGUUAUUAGGGAAGAACAUAUGUGUAAGUAACUGUGCACAUCUUGACGGUACCUAAUCAGAAAGCCACGGCUAACUACGUGCCAGCAGCCGCGGUAAUACGUAGGUGGCAAGCGUUAUCCGGAAUUAUUGGGCGUAAAGCGCGCGUAGGCGGUUUUUUAAGUCUGAUGUGAAAGCCCACGGCUCAACCGUGGAGGGUCAUUGGAAACUGGAAAACUUGAGUGCAGAAGAGGAAAGUGGAAUUC
rnacentral:rRNA from 1 species